rnacentral:rRNA from 1 species
GUGGGGAAUCUUGCGCAAUGGGCGAAAGCCUGACGCAGCCAUGCCGCGUGAAUGAUGAAGGUCUUAGGAUUGUAAAAUUCUUUCACCGGGGACGAUAAUGACGGUACCCGGAGAAGAAGCCCCGGCUAACUUCGUGCCAGCAGCCGCGGUAAUACGAAGGGGGCUAGCGUUGCUCGGAAUUACUGGGCGUAAAGGGCGCGUAGGCGGACAGUUUAGUCAGAGGUGAAAGCCCAGGGCUCAACCUUGGAAUUGCCUUUGAUACUGGCUGUCUUGAGUACGGGAGAGGUGAGUGGAACUCCGAGUGUAGAGGUGAAAUUCGUAGAUAUUCGGAAGAACACCAGUGGCGAAGGCGACUCACUGGCCCGUUACUGACGCUGAGGCGCGAAAGCGUGGGGAGCAAACAGGAUUAGAAACCCUGGUAGUCC